GACGGGGGGGGCAAGUGUUCUUCGGAAUGACUGGGCGUAAAGGGUUCGCAGGCGGAAAUGCAAGUCAGAUGUAAAAGGCAGUAGCUUAACUACUGUAAGCAUUUGAAACUGCAUAUCUUGAGAAGAGUAGAGGUAAGUGGAAUUUUUAGUGUAGCGGUGAAAUGCGUAGAUAUUAAAAAGAAUACCGGUGGCGAAGGCGACUUACUGGGCUCAUUCUGACGCUGAGGAACGAAAGCGUGGGUAGCAAACAGG
rnacentral:rRNA from 1 species